rnacentral:misc_RNA from 1 species
GAUGAAGACGUAGCGAAAUGCGAUACUUGGUGUGAAUUGCAGAAUCCCGUGAACCAUCGAGUCUUUGAACGCAAGUUGCGCCCGAAGCCAUUAGGCCGAGGGCACGCCUGCCUGGGCGUCACACGUCGUUGCCCCCCCAUCUACUCCUUCGGGAUUGCGGGGGGCGGAUGAUGGCCUCCCGUGCGCCUCGCCGCGCGGUUGGCAUAAAUGCCAAGUCCUCGGCGACGCACGCCACGACAAUCGGUGGUUGCGAAACCUCGGUUGCCCGUCGUGUGCGGUCGUCGCGCAUCGAGGGCUCGAAAAAAUUGCCGGGUUCCGGCUCGGCUUUCAACGCGACCCCAGGUCAGGCGGGGUUACCCGCUGAAUUUAAGCAUAUCAAUAAGCGGAGGA